rnacentral:rRNA from 1 species
CGUAGGUGACCUGCGAAGGAUCAUA